rnacentral:pre_miRNA from 1 species
AUUAUAAUUGUUGGGUCAUAUGAUAGUUGCCUAUUAGAUUUGUAAGAAACUGACAAAUGGUUUGCUAGAAUGGCCAUACCAUUUUACAUUCCCACCAGCAAC